GAUGAAGAACGUAGCGAAAUGCGAUAAGUAAUGUGAAUUGCAGAAUUCAGUGAAUCAUCGAAUCUUUGAACGCACAUUGCGCCCCUUGGUAUUCCGAGGGGCAUGCCUGUUCGAGCGUCAUUAUAACCCCUCAAGCUCAGCUUGGUGUUGGGGCCUGCUGCACUGGCAGCCCUUAAAAUCAGUGGCGGCGCCAUCUGGCUCUAAGCGUAGUAAUUCUUCUCGCUAUGGAGUCCUGGUGGAUGCUUGCCAUCAACCCCCAAUUUUUCUAUGGUUGACCUCGGAGCAGGUAGGGAUACCCGCUGAACUUAAGCAUAUCAUAAGCGGAGGA
rnacentral:misc_RNA from 1 species